CGUAAGGGGCGAGCGUUGUUCGGGAUCAUUGGGCGUAAAGGGUGAGUAGGCGGAUAUGCAAGUCUAUGUGUAAAAUACCACAGCUCAACUGUGGAACUAUGCUGGAAACUGCAUGACUAGAGUCUGAUAGGGGAAGUUAGAAUUCCUGGUGUAAGGGUGGAAUCUGUUGAUAUCAGGAAGAAUACCAGAGGCGAAGGCGAACUUCUAGGUCAAGACUGACGCUGAGUCACGAAAGCGUAGGGAGCAAAC
rnacentral:rRNA from 1 species